rnacentral:lncRNA from 1 species
GCAGAAUGUUGGACAUUAGCACAUUAGCAUCCAAGAUAUCAAAAUUUUAUCAACUAAACUUCCAAAUUGACAAGCUUGUCUAAACUGCAACCAUCUUCAUAUUUAGUGUGGUUUCAGAAUCUGCAUUUGCUUUUGUUCUUUCCCCCUUUGUUUUAGCUACCGCUUUAUGAUCACUUUCUGUCCCAAGAAAAGAAAACACUUUAUCAUUAUGUAAAUGGUUAUUUUAGGGGUCACUGAUGUUAGUUGCUCUUUGUUUUUCCAGAAGGAAUCACCACUGGGUUCGGCAACAGAGUCAGCUCACCCAGGUAAAUUCAGGAUAAUAAAGUGGUCUUUGUAAUUAUCCAUUUCAAAGCAAAAAAGAGGAUACACUUCAUUUUCUUUUGACUCACUGCAUAAUUGUUAGUUUUGAUGUUGCUGUAUGUGGUUAGCCAUAAUGUGUUUGCUUAGUUUAGAGUUUUUGGUUUAUUAAAUUGGGGUGGAGGAGUGGACGCCUAACUGUAUGUUUGAACCCACUUACAAUGUUUUUGGUAACACCCAUUUUCUUUCUGUCGCGUCCUGAUAUGAUUUCAACGUGUAUUUUUUUUCAAAGCUGCAAAUGUGAGCUUUUGAAUAGACUUGUGGUACCACCAUCGCCGGUCUUUUGACUUAUACACUUUGUAUAUCUUGGAAAUGAAUUGUAUUGUCCCAUUAAGCCAACAAUUUGAUCAAUUCUGUUUAGGACUUAAAUGUGAUAAUCAUGUUAGAAGUUAGCACUGAACAAAUGUUAGUGAAAGUGAAGAUGCCCUGUUUCACUAUUAGCUUACUGGUUUAGAUUUAUCUGCACUUGCCUUUGAAAGGAAGCAAGUACCUAUACUGAGUGCAAAAGAAUAAGCUCUUAACCAUUUUUAAUUAGACACAUUGAUGUAUUUAACAUAGUUCUGAAUUGUGGUCUACAACCGUAACUGCGGCUGCAAUAUAACAGAUUUAGAGGUAUUCGCAAGACUGCAACGACAUCACAACUGCAACUGUGGCCACAUUGGCCAUGUUUCUCAAUAGUAUUGGAAUUCAUCAACAAUUGAUCUAUCAUUUUGAUUUUCAUAUUGGAGUAGAUGCAUAUAGUUUAAAUUUGAACCUUAGUUUUAACUCAUACUAUCGAUCUAUAUUUUUUACUUGGUUUCUUUUUAUUCUUUUUGCUUCUAACACCAUUACUUCACUGAUUUUGGUUCAUUAAUAUGCAUACAUUUUUUUUUUUUUUGGUUUAUAUGCAGCACGCUUUUCACCCGAUGAUAAGUUCUCAGACCAUAGGGUGCGUCUGAAGAAGCGAUUUGGUCUUUUGCCAACUCAGCAGCCACCUCGGAAGUACUGAGAUAGUGAACACUUCAUCUCUUGGAGAAUGUUCAAAAUGCUAUCUAUAGUUGUGCUUUCUUUCUUCCUUGCUAUAUUUUUGUUCAUUGAUGGCUUGCAUGAUAGUUAUGUAAUGAUGCAAGUAUUAGUAAUGUUUAAGUGACAGGAAAUAGACUCUUGGAAUUGUAUUUUACCAUUCCUUGUUUUUGGGAUGAUUCUUAUGCUACAUUUUCAGAAUUUUGUGCAUUUUAUGCUCCAUGUUAAUUUUUCAGAACUGUUAAUUAUGAUGAAGAUUAUACUGCUGAAAAGGAAAUCAAAGUUUUAAAGAUUUGUCUAGAACUUAUGAUUUCCAUUUUCAACUGUUGUGGAUUUAUGAUGUAAAGUGGUUAGAUCCUAUUAUUUUUAGGAGGUUCAUGAGUGGUUAUAGAAACCAUAGCAGUGUCCACAGAUAUUUCAAAACGCACACUAAGUGCACCACAAGAGUAAAAAACUAAAAGAAUAUAUAUAUUAUCAUUUACAUAGAAGUCAAGGAAAGUGAAUAUUUUCAUCAUGGAUUAAGCAAAUUUAUAAGAAUAAAACAUGAUUACUGGGUACAGAACCAGUCAAAAGAAAGAUUACUGGGUUACAGAGUGGAUGACUUAGGAGUGCAUCAUUUGGAUAUGGUGUCUAGAUAGAUUUGUGAAAUCAUUUGAUUUAUUCUUGAAUUUUGGUUGCUCUCAUUAAGUCCCUACCCUUUUUUGGGACUAAAACAGUAAGUCACUACAUAGUGCUUAUUUUCUUCUUCCAAACACCCUUUUUUUGAUUUAUUCUAAUGCAUGUCACGAGCUAAUUUAUUAUUUCCUCGUUUUCUUGCUUACGUCUUAUCAGCAUCACGUUGAAGAGAAAAAUACAUUCUAUAUAUAGAAUAAUAAUUUGCUGCUAAGUAGAAUUUAGGAGGAAUCUAACAACGGGGUAGCAUCUUCCUUGAUUCUAAAUCGAAUAAUAAAAAGGAAAACCUUGCUUAAUAAUAAUAAUACUUGAGCAUCCUCUUCCCAUGUCUACAAUUUUGAAUGUCAACUCUAAUAGUAGUAAUUCAAAACACUAGUGGUAAACAAAAAGAGAAAAAACUCUAUCAUUGCGACUUUUGAAC